rnacentral:rRNA from 1 species
AUUGAACGCUGGCGGCAGGCUUAACACAUGCAAGUCGAGCGGGGGAGGCUGCUUCGGUAACUGACCUAGCGGCGGACGGGUGAGUAAUGCUUAGGAAUCUGCCUAUUAGUGGGGGACAACAUUCCGAAAGGGAUGCUAAUACCGCAUACGCCCUACGGGGGAAAGCAGGGGAUCUUCGGACCUUGCGCUACUAGAUGAGCCUAAGUCGGAUUAGCUAGUUGGUGGGGCAAAGGCCUACCAAGGCGACGAUCUGUAGCGGGUCUGAGAGGCAACCCCGCCAGACUGGGAAUGUGACACGGCCGAGACUCCUACGGGAGGCAGCAGGGGGGAAUGUUGGACAAUGGGCGGAAGCCUGAUCCAGCCAUGCCGGGUGUGUGAAGGAGGCCUUUUGGUUGUAAAGCACUUUAAGCGAGGAGGAGGCUACGUUAGUUAAUACCUAGAGAUAGGGGACGUUACUCGCAGAAUAAGCACCGGCUAACUCUGUGCCAGCCGCCGCCGUAACAC